rnacentral:sRNA from 1 species
AGGACGCGUAUGGGGAGGUGGAGAUGAACGACGGGAAGCUCUACGACGCCUACGUCUCCUACAGCGACUGCCCCGAGGACCGCAAGUUCGUGAACUUCAUCCUGAAGCCGCAGCUGGAGCGCCGUCGGGGCUACAAGCUUUUCCUGGACGACCGCGACCUCCUGCCGCGCGCUGGUAUCCCGGGCCCCGCCCACCCGGAGGGCCCGCCCCCCCCGGGCCCUAACCCAGAGGUCCCGCCCCGCCUCAUGCUCCGUCCCACCCGGGGCCCCGCCCCCACUAUCGAGCUCCGCCCCCCAUCCCCACUCACCCCCGAGGCCCCGCCUCAAAAAUCCCGCCCCACCCCGCAGGCCCCGCCCCUCCCUUACAGCUCUGCGCCUGGCCCCG